rnacentral:antisense_RNA from 1 species
UGUGGGAGCGAGCUUGCUCGCGAUAGCGGUGUGUCAGUUACAUCAAUUCCAACUGAUCCGACGCUUCGCGAGCAAGCUCGCUCCCACA